rnacentral:lncRNA from 1 species
GCAAAUAGGUUUUCAAUUUUCACAGCUAAAAAAACAGACUGUUUACAGUGUUGUCUCCCCUCGAAACAUGUAUAUUUAAUAUAAUUUUUAAAAUUAUUUCAAUCAUUCAACCUGUUUUAAUUGAAAGCUAAUUAACUAAUUUUUACAAUCAAAUACAAAAAACAUGAUACUUUUUCACCAAGUAAGUAAAUAAACAGGGGUUUCCCUCCAUGGUUAUUUUU